AUUAGUUUUUAUCGAAUUGGGUUCGGUUUGAGAUUCCAGGUUCGGUUUAUUUGCCCCCUAGCGAAGAUGGCUAAAUUGGAUUCCGCCGACUCCGAUCUUGACAGAUCCAUGGUUUCUGGCUGUAUUAAUAAGGUUCGUGUAUGGAAAGCUUCUCUUGGCUUUGCCAUGGUGUGGUGGCCCGUAGGAGGUGCGUGGAGAGCACGAUCAAGUGCUUGCAAGCGGAUUCCGAAGCUUAAAUGCCGGUUAUAGCGAUUUUCGUGAUGGUUGAGUUGUUUUAAGUCCUUGUAGCUUCAAUAAACCGGAAGCUUCUCAUGACUGACAGAGACCUCAACCCUUUGUUUAAUCAUGCAAGUUCUUUGAAUUGCAUUUGUCUUGGCGAGUCAAAUGUAUAUGAUUGAUUUGGAGUUUUGCUUAUGGUCGUGGUGUUUUUUAGCAACAGCCGGCUUGUGGCGUUGAGUUCAAAUCUUAUCUAAAUUGUCGACUUGGUUUAUCUCUCUUUGCUCUUUAGUUCUGAUGUUUCAGACUUGUAACCACCUAUGUUCGGGUUUGUAAUGUGUUUGGUGAAUAAUAAAAUUUUCACAUAACAGAAAAGUACUGCCAAGCACUUGUUCAAUGUUGGCAACCAAAAACACAAAUAACUAAAAGUAAUUUAUUAUAUCAUCCUUGAACUCAUUAAAUGUUUUACGGAAGGAUUAUUCCCACCAAACUACAUGCCAUACACAGCACGGAUCCUUUAUUGCAAUACAAUGGUUGCAUAUGUCCCUUUAUGCCAAUAUUAAUUGGCGCACUUAGUGUCUCCAGGUAAAUGUAAAGCUCACACAUUACAUUUU